UACGUAGGUGGCAAGCGUUGUCCGGAAUUAUUGGGCGUAAAGCGCGCGCAGGCGGCCUUUUAAGUCUGAUGUGAAAGCCCACGGCUCAACCGUGGAAGGUCAUUGGAAAUUGAAAGGCUUGAGUACAGAAGAGGAAAGCGGAAUUCCACGUGUAGCGGUGAAAUGCGUAGAGAUGUGGAGGAACACCAGUGGCGAAGGCGGCUUUCUGGUCUGUAACUGACGCUGAGGCGCGAAAGCGUGGGGAGCAAACAGG
rnacentral:rRNA from 1 species